AUUGAACGCUGGCGGCAGGCCUAACACAUGCAAGUCGAGCGAGCGGAGGACGGGCGAGUAAUGUCUGGGAAACUGCCUGAUGGAGGGGGCUAACUACUGGAAACGGUAGCUAAUACCGCAUACCAUCAGAUGUGCCCAGAUGGGAUUAGCUAGUAGGUGGGGUAUUGGCUCACCUGGGCGACGCUCCCUAGCUGGUCUGAGAGGGUGAGCAGCCACACUGGAACUGAUACACGGUCCAGACUCCUACGGGAGGCAGCAGUGGGGAAUAUUGCACAAUGGGCGCAAGCCUGAUGCAGCCAUGCCGCGUGUGUGAAGAAGGCCUUCGGGUUGUAAAGCACUUUCAGCGAGGAGGCGUUACUCGCAGAAGAAGCACCGGCUAACUCCGUGCCAGCAGCCGCGGUAAUUC
rnacentral:rRNA from 1 species